UACGGAACGGAAGCAGCGUGAGCGGAAGUCGGAGAAACAGGAAGUGGCCGGGGCCGGAAGUCGCACGUGCGCGAUGGGGAUCGGGGGAAAAAUCAACCGACCGAAAACGGAGCUGCGCCGGAAGUUGUUCAAGAGGCGGCGGGAACUCAGCAAGGCGCGGAGGCGGCCGAAACGCGUUUCCAUCCCGGCUCCCUCCUCCAAACGCCGCCGGAAGCUCCUGAAACGCCUCCGCCAUUCGGCCAAUGGUGAGUUGAGGGCGCGGCGUCA